CUCUGUGGGCAGCAGCCAGGCCAGAGGUGGGGGAGAUUUAAAGGGGAUGGGUACAGAGGCCACUCUAGGAGCCUGGGGUGGAAGCAUCCCUAGACUUCAAUGCAAAUGACAUGCAGUUCACAUCCCUCUUCCUCCAGAGGCCUCCGGCCCUGUCCUGGGGGACGCUGACCCUGGCUGGCCCCAACACCCCAGGUUACUGCAACCUGAACUUCGAUCCCUCCACGGCCAGCGAGGAGCUCUUCCUGUUCAAGGAGACGCACUCCGUGCUGAACCUGGGCAUCCCCCUGGAGCCCUCAGCCAGCGGCGGCCCCUUGCUGGGCUUCAAGCAGUGGCCGCAGGUGCUGUCCUCCCGCGGUCUGUCCCAGGGCCUCCUCUAACGGGAGGCCAAGGUGUUGAACUCCUGGGUGUGCCUGGGCGUCACCUACCGACGCAGCCCCGGCUCAGUGGCCACCCGCGCCACUGCGUCGGCUACCUGCUGGGCCACAACCCCCUACUCCUGGGGCCUGGAGUGGGACUCGCUGAGCCUCUCCGUGUGGCACGGCAACUCGCAGACCGUGCUGCGCGGCGCCCACCACCGCGCGCUCGGGGUGGCGCUCGACCUCGGGGCCGGCUGCCUCUCCUACAGCGUGGCGGUCGGCGAGAGCCUCCUCUACCGCUUCCUCACCGCCUUCCUCCAGCCGCUCUAGCCCGCCGUCAAGAACUAUGGAUCAAAUCCAGAGCCUCUGUACCACUGAGCCACAUCCAGUCCUUUUUAUUUUUUAUUUUGAGAUAGAGUCUUGCUAAAUUGCCCAUGCAGGACUUGAACUUGGGAAUCCUCUUGCCUCAGCCUCCCUCCGUGUUGGGAUUAUAGGCAUAUAUCACCACACCUGGCUUGUUACUGGGUUCCUUAAACAGCUGUUCUUUAUUUGGGAGCCUGGCACCUCUAGCACUCCUCAAGCUCCUUUUGGUAUUUCCAAAGGCCAAAACGCAAUGCGACCUGUACUUUUGGUGAGCUCAGGGCUCCUUGGCAUGCCUCAGUAUGCACCUCAAAGGGGAAAUAUCAUAAAGGGGUAGAAAUAAUAUUUGUAGAGAUGGAAAUGCUAAUUACCCUGAUUUGAUUAUAUAUACAUU
rnacentral:lncRNA from 1 species